rnacentral:lncRNA from 1 species
UACUUAAACUGCCACUUCAGGGAUGGGGGAAUAUUUGUUAGCAUUUUCAAAAAUUGAGAAUUUAGCCACAGAGUAAGUGAUGGCUUUUAAAAAUGAGUGGAUUGAGCCAUUGAGACGCAUGUUAAGUUGUUUACAGGAACCUAGUGUUGCUCAUUCCUUAUAGCACAGGACAACAUCCUCAGCCUGGAAACAGGUCUGCAGACCAUUCUGAGAUUGCAGAUCUGUGUGACUCUUCUACCCACACUGUUGCAGGCAUAGUACCAGAAGUACCACCUAAGUAACCAAAACAGUAGGCUUUUUUUUUAAAACAAGACUGAAUGGAUGUGUUUUGCCCAAAACAUAGUUGUCUAAGGUUUAGAGUACAAAGAACACAACACAUUUAAUUUAACUUAUUGUGAUAGUAUUAAUGUUGUAGUCAGAUUUCAUUGUGGAAACUAAAUACACACUCUGUUCCUCACGAUUGUAUUUAGUUUCCAUAAUAGUUUUUUUUAAAUCCUCACAGAUUGGAGAUAAAAUAUGGAAAUUUAUGAUUAUCAAUAUUUGGAGCCAAAUCCUAAGAGAAGAAGUUUGGACCGAGGUCUAAAAGUACUUAACUGAAAUGGAGCCAUGGAGAGACAAGUUUAAUCUUGGAGACACAUGGGAGAAGGGAAGAAAUGGAGCCCACGGUGCUAAGGGCUUUCAAAUUUGCCUCCUUGUUUCCUUUGGCAGUGCAUUUCCAGGGCCACCGUUUUAAAUACAGUCACGUUGGCUUGAGAUGGGACUCCCUGACCCUUUUAGGCCUCCUUUUGUAGUAACAAUAUAGUUUUACGAUGAGACAGGUCUUGCAGAAAAUCCCCUCCCUUUGGUCUCUUUUUUUCCUUGCAGUGUACAAUCCUGGCCCUUGGAGUUCAAGCGGUUUAUUUAGAGAUGUAAAUGUUCAAAUUUAGGUUCAGAGUCUUUGAGGUAGUCUGAGUCUUGGAGAUCUUUUCCAAUAAAAGUAUUGCUCCCUUUUAACAUACACCAGAGACGUCCUUUCACUUGCAAACAGCUUCAGUAGGGCUGUGAUCAUACUCCAGGACAGUGCUGGCCCCACUUGUGUCUGUGUAGAGCCUCUAGAAGCUGGGCACCAGUAGCUGCACAGGCUGACAAGGCUAUGUGAGAAGCAAGCUUUAACUGCACACAAAAGUGGCCCUUACUUUGUAGCUAGAAUUGUCCUUGGCACAUAGAGUAAACAAGAGUGGUGCAGAUUGGAAAUUGCAAAACCCAGCAAAGAAGUGAGAAAGUCUGUAACUACUUGACACCCUCACUCCACAACCCUGCCUACAAUUAGUUCAAGAUGGAAGAAAUCAAUACAACUCAGUGUCCCACAAAAUCUUAUCAUCUAACUUGGCUUUCUAAAAUUUUUCAUUUGUGUAUACCUUUUGAGGAUGUGGUCUAUCUGACCCAGUAGGCAAGAAAAAAACAAAAAACAAAAAACAAAAAGAAGACUCCACACCUACAUUCUGCUAAUAAAAUUGGAGAAGACAGCCUUGAAAGAUGACUUUUCUACAGCUGUGCUGUCCAUGAGAGCAGUCAAUCUUCAAGUAUCCAGUGGCAGUAUGUCAUGAUAGACUCUUCAAAUACAAUUCAGGAUGUCAGGCAAACUCAGGAGAAGCAUCAGAGAAACUAACAAGUGAUGACAAAUGGGGAUGAAGGAGACAACAUUUGGUGCCUGGGAAGUAAAAAGGGUUGAAUAAAAUCCUGUGUGCACAAACACCCAUAGGUGUUUUCAACACAUCAGAACAAAAGAUGUGAAUGUACAGCAUCAAAAACAGAAUUCCACAUGCUUCCCACUCUCUUCUCACUUGGGAACCCCAAUGUUGUGUGUAAUUGCUCCUAGCAGCAGCCUGGCUGCCCUGGAGGACAUGAGUUUGAAAGGCUCCCCAGUCAGAGGGAGAAGCACUUCGCCAGACACCAUUGCAAGCUGCCCUAAGACUCUAACUGGUCAAGCACCAAGAUCUACAACUCCAAGGUCUAGAGAGGUCAACACUCUUGCAUUCUCAUAGCGCCAUACCACUUCCCAUAAGGUUUUUCAUUACGUAGGUCUCACCCAGUCAAGAGUGGGCCUGAAAACACUCCCAAGUGUCAGUGUCUAUGCUGGCAAAGCCAGCCCCCUGGUCUUCCUGCUGAGCCACCCUGUGUAGACUUGAUACUAUAACUUUGCAUAAAGAAUCGUAUUGCCUCCAAGGAGACCUCUUAAUGACUUAAUUGCAUCUGGCUCUACUAUUCUGAAUAUAUGGCUGAAUAAUUGAAUAUAAACUAGCAAUAUAACUCAAGCUUCUACCCACCCUCUCCAUUCAGGGUCCUCUGAACCCUCAGGUAAAUGCCUAAAAGGAAGCUUGUCCCAACAGGUAAAUUCAAGUCUUAACAACACAAGUAGUGCAGAAGUAACUAACAGCAGACUAAUCAGUGAAGACAAAGGUAAGAAAUAAAGUCAGGGACCAUCAUCAAGCCCCCUGAAGUUAAAAAGAUGAAGUCCAUCUCACCCUUUGCACUGAUCUUACACUGUGUGUACCUGCAGUUGUGAAAUAAACCUACAAUCUGAAUUAAUCAGCUAUUACUGGCCUAAGCAAUGUGACUUUUUUUCUAGGCAGGGUCAGACCUUUGUCUUGAUGCUCCAUUCAACCUCCUAAGUGACAUGACUUUAUAUGGUGUAUUAUACACUUACAUCUCCUAAAGAGGACAUAUGGUUUCUCUGAAAUUUUCUCUUCUUAUUUAAUUAAAGAAUAGAAAUACCUCAAACAAAUAUCUUCCUUAAAGAGACUUUUAAAAUAAAGUUUAAUAAACCUUAUUAAAAGAAACUUGCAAAUAAAAAAUAACAGCACACACCAAAAUUAGCCAGAUCCAAAGUCUAUACAGCUUAAUGAACAGAGUUAGAAUUGGUAUUCAAAACAUAAACUGUGAAGCUUCUUAUUACAAAUUUCAGUGUUGAGUAUAUUUUAUGCACUUAUCCACCAUUCAAACAAACAAAUAAACAAACAAACAAAAUCUAUCACAGGAUAACUAAAAAUAUUUAGCUUUAUGUCGUCUUUCAUGAGUGGACUCAUGUCCACUGCCUGCAUUCAAAAACAGAUCAUAAAAUAAACUU